rnacentral:tRNA from 1 species
GGGAGUGUAGCUCAGAGAUAGAGCACUUGCCUAGUGUGCAUAAGGCCCUGGGUGUGAUCCCCAGCACUGCAA